rnacentral:rRNA from 1 species
CUCGUAGGUGGUUUGUCGCGUUGUUCGUGAAAACUCACAGCUUAACUGUGGGCGUGCGGGCGAUACGGGCAGACUAGAGUACUGCAGGGGAGACUGGAAUUCCUGAUGUAGCGGUGGAAUGCGCAGAUAUCAGGAGGAACACCGGUGGCGAAGGCGGGUCUCUGGGCAGUAACUGACGCUGAGGAGCGAAAGCGUGGGUAGCGAACA